rnacentral:rRNA from 1 species
UCCCAGCAGUCCAAAUUGCAGCCUGUAUUAUUGGGUCUAAAACAUCCGUAGCUCGUCUAUUAAGUUUCUUGUGAAAUUCCACGUCUCAAGCGUGGAGCGCGCAGGGAAUACUGGUAGACUCGGGACCGGUAGAUGUAAAGAGUACAUCUGAGGUAGUGGUAAAAUACGUUAAUCUUAGGUGGACUAACAAUUGGCGAAGGCACUUUACAAGGACGGAUCUGACAGUGAGGGAUGAAGGCCAGGGGCGCAAAACGG